rnacentral:rRNA from 1 species
CAAUAGCGUAUAUUAAAGUUGUUGCAGUUAAAAAGCUCGUAGUUGGACCUUGGACCUGGACAGGCGGUCCGCCUCACGGCGAGUACUGUCUUGCUGGGUCUUUCCUCUUGGUGAUCUGUUGUUUCGGCAGCAGGGAACCAGGACCUUUACUUUGAAAAAAUUAGAGUGUUCAAAGCAGGCUCGACGCCGGAAUAUAUUAGCAUGGAAUAAUAAAAUAGGACGUGCGGUUCUAUUUUGUUGGUUUUUGGAAUCGCCGUAAUGAUUAAUAGGGACAGUCGGGGGCAUUAGUACUCACAUGCUAGAGGUGAAAUUCUUGGAUUUUGUGAAGACUAACUUCUGCGAANGNAUUUGGNAAGGAUGUUUNCAUUA